UACGUAGGGGGCAAGCGUUGUCCGGAUUUAUUGGGCGUAAAGAGCGUGUAGGCGGCCGCACAGGUCCGUUGUGAAAACUGGAGGCUCAACCUUCAGACGUCGAUGGAAACCGUGCGGCUAGAGUCCGGAAGAGGAGAGUGGAAUUCCUGGUGUAGCGGUGAAAUGCGUAGAUAUCUGGAGGAACACCGGUGGCGAAGGCGGCGUUCUGGACUGCAUCUGACACUGAGGAACGAAAGCCAGGGGAGCAAACGGG
rnacentral:rRNA from 1 species